ACCUCUUACUGAGGGAUAGCCCAGAGAAAUUUGGAUUAAUACCUCAUAAUACCAUAAGAUCGCCUGAUCACUUGGUUAAAGGUUACGGUAAGAGAUGGGCAUGCGGACUAUUAGUUUGUUGGUGAGGUAAUGGCUCACCAAGACUACGAUGGUUAGGGGGUCUGAGAGGAUUAUCCCCCACACUGGUACUGAGACACGGACCAGACUCCUACGGGAGGCAGCAGUGAGGAAUAUUGCGCAAUGGACGAAAGUCUGACGCAGCCAUGCCGCGUGAAGGAUGACGGCGCUACGCGUUGUAAACUUCUUUUAUAUACCAAGAAACCUUCGGACGUGUCCGAAGCUGACGGUAGUAUAUGAAUAAGCACCGG
rnacentral:rRNA from 1 species